UACGUAGGACCCAAGCGUUAUCCGGAGUGACUGGGCGUAAAGAGUUGCGUAGGCGGUUUGUAAAGCGAAUAGUGAAAUCUGGUGGCUCAACCACACAGGCUAUUAUUCGAACUCACAAACUCGAGAGUAGCAGAGGUAACUGGAAUUUCUUGUGUAGGAGUGAAAUCCGUAGAUAUAAGAAGGAACACCAAUGGCGUAGGCAGGUUACUGGGCUAUUUCUGACGCUAAGGCACGAAAGCGUGGGGAGCGAACCGG
rnacentral:rRNA from 1 species